AAUUCCUUUCCUGACUCGCCACCACUCCUCUCUCUGCCUUUGGGUUUUGUCAAUGGCCAGCUGCCAAACCUAGUCUGCUUGCGGCCCCUGGAGCCAGCAGCUCUGUGCCCUUGGUCUCAGGCAGCAGUCCCUUUGUGGACAGGCGAGGUGGGGAGAAAAUAAAGCUGGUCUGGUGCAAUUUCCUAGGGCCUAACUGCAGAGUCAUUGGGCUGCUCUCAUUUGCUUCACCCUCAUACCUUCUCUGGCUCCGGCGUCUGGGUUCCAGCAGAUUUUCCCCAAAUAAUUAAAAAUAGCAUGAAGUGAUUUUACUUUCAGGUUCAGCUUUAUGCUCAUUUCCUUUCUUAACAACCUCAGUUUGUUUUCAGCUUCUGUGGGAGAAGAAAACAGCAAGGGUGAGUUAAGAGGUACCUGGAUGCUCAUUCUUGAACAGAACAGCAAUCUAUGGCUCAGGCCUGGGGAUUCUGGUGACCUUAGUGGAUGCCUUCAACAGCGGAGCGGUUCCUUCUCUGGAGAACACGGUGAUAUCUGUGUCCUAGUGUGAGGACUCAGUGGCUCUGCAGAGUGAGGUUCCCACAGAAAUGGUCGUGGCAGUACCAGAUCUGGGCUAUGGAGCAGCCCCCACGGAGCAGCCUCCCCAAAAUGACGAGGAGUUAUGGAAGAAGUACACGAGUUUGGUGCAGAUGAAGAAGGAACUAGAGGGAAGCUGCAUGAAGAAAGAUGAGCUUCUCCAUGAAGCACGAGAAGCCUUAGCAGAGGAGCAAGCCAAAAGAGAGACAGCUGAGAAGGAAAAGCGGCUUCUUGAGAAAAGGCCCAAAUAAAAAUCAUGACUGGUAGCAAGCAACAUACUGAAACUGACUGCACUCCAAAGAUAAUGGAGAACAAUGACAGAGAAGAUACUUCGCGGCCUUCGUGGUGGCCUCAAAUUUGUGAGCUGCUACAAGAGUUGAUUUUACUAAUGGUCAAGUUUUUCUCUUGUAUAUAAUUUCAGAUACCUGUGCACAGUAUUCAGACUUCUUCCAACAACCUCUGCGAUCCUCACCUUUAUGUUGCAGACUGGUUUCUCCAUGAAGUCUUGGAUUUCCUGAAUCCUCUAAAGCGGGUUGGGUGGCCCUCCUUUGUGAUCUCAUUGUACCUAUGGCAUGAUUUUGAAAACUUAAGUUACCCAUUGACUCUGUUUUGCUGAUGAUACCUCACUGAUAGGGACAAGUUUAUCUUUAUCAUUGUAAUCCUAGUUCCUAUUUGCAUGUCCAACACUUGAUCCGUAACUGCAAAGUGAUGGUUGAACACAUUCCCCACUCUCUAAAGAUUCUUCUUUAACAAAAGGUUUAUUUAUUUUUGAGAGAGAGAGAGAGAGAGAGAGAGAGAGAGAGAGAGCAUGAGUGGGGAAGGGGCAGAGAGAGGGGAAGAAUGAGAGAAUCCCAAGCAGGCCCUGCACUG